rnacentral:rRNA from 1 species
UACGUAGGGGGCGAGCGUUAUCCGGAUUUACUGGGCGUAAAGCGCGUUAAGGCGGUUGGCAAAGUUGGUUGUGAAAUCUCAGGGCUCAACCCUGAAAUUGCGACCAAUACUGGUCGACUAGAGUGCAAGAGGGGAAGGUGGAAUUCCCGGUGUAGUAGUGAAAUGCGUAGAUAUCGGGAGGAACACCAGUGGCGAAGGCGGCCUUCUGGCUUGCAACUGACGCUGUAGCGCGAAGGCGUGGGGAGCGAACCGG